AACGAACGCUGGCGGCAGGCUUAACACAUGCAAGUCGAACGGCUGUAGCAAUACAGCAGUGGCAGACGGGUGAGUAACACGUGGGAACCUUCCUAGGGGUACGGAACAACUCAGGGAAACUUGAGCUAAUACCGUAUACGUCCGGAAGGAGAAAGAUUUAUCGCCCUUAGACGGGCCCGCGUCGGAGUAGCAAGUUGGUGGGGUAACGGCCGACCAAGGCGACGAUCCGUAGCUGAUGUGAGAGGAUGGUCAGCCACACUGGGACGGAGACACGGCCCAGACUCCUACGGGAGGCAGCAGUGGGGAAUCUUGGACAAUGGGCGCAAGCCUGAUCCAGCCAUGCCGCGUGAGUGAAGAAGGCCUUAGGGUUGUAAAGCUCUUUUGGCAGGGACGAUAAUGACGGUACCUGCAGAAUAAGCCCCGGCAAACUUCGUGCCAGCCGCCGCCGUAACAC
rnacentral:rRNA from 1 species